rnacentral:rRNA from 1 species
UACGGGGGGGGCAAGCGUUGUUCGGAAUUACUGGGCGUAAAGGGCGCGUAGGCGGCAUGCCAAGCGUGUGGUGAAAGCCCGGGGCUCAACCCCGGGUCGGCCGUGCGGACUGGCGUGCUCGAGCACUGUAGGGGCGGGUGGAAUUCCGGGUGUAGCGGUGGAAUGCGUAGAGAUCCGGAAGAACACCGGUGGCGAAGGCGGCCUGCUGGGCAGUUGCUGACACUGAUGCGCGACAGCGUGGGGAGCAAACAGG